AUACGAAGGGUGCAAGCGUUAAUCGGAAUUACUGGGCGUAAAGCGUGCGCAGGCGGUUUUGUAAGACAGUGGUGAAAUCCCCGGGCUCAACCUGGGAACUGCCAUUGUGACUGCAAGGCUGGAGUGCGGCAGAGGGGGAUGGAAUUCCGCGUGUAGCAGUGAAAUGCGUAGAUAUGCGGAGGAACACCGAUGGCGAAGGCAAUCCCCUGGGCCUGCACUGACGCUCAUGCACGAAAGCGUGGGGAGCAAACAGGAUUAGAUACCCUGGUAGUCCACGCCCUAAACGAUGUCAACUGGUUGUUGGGGAUUUAUUUUCUCAGUAACGAAGCUAACGCGUGAAGUUGACCGCCUGGGGAGUACGGCCGCAAGGUUAAAACUCAAAUGAAUUGACGGGG
rnacentral:rRNA from 1 species